rnacentral:ncRNA from 1 species
UAACAGGUGAAAGUCCUGUAGAGGUAAAGGUAGGGAAGCCUCUUAGUCAGUAACCAACGUAGUGAGAGAUUGGUGCGUUGAAGCGUUACGGAAUGUUCAGAAAUGAGCAGACAAACUGAUGGGUUGUAACAUAA